GACUGUCAGGCAGUCAGAAGAUGGGAAGCUCACAUCUGAGCCCUAGCUAUUAACACUAGGGUUUUAUUUAGGGAACAUUAUGGACUUUAAGUGACUCUGUAAAGAUACCACAUACUAUUACUGGAAAAUAAAGGUGUGCAGAAAGGCAGAUUCAAGCCACAUUUAUUCUAACUGUCUUUAGCAUGAAUUUGAUUAAAAUGAGAAAGUUAGCAUUGAUGCAUCUAAACUACAUAGGUUUUGCUUCAUUAAAACGGUCAUUUGUUGAGGGCUCUGAUCGUAGGAAAGAAGGAGUGACCUUCCGUUGAAUAUCCAACAUAAAACGAACUUCACCAAGGUAAAGCAAAAGUUGUUAUCUUUACUUAAAACUAACCAUGAAGUCCGUCUAGGAGUUGCAUUUAUUUAUUCCCUUCAAAGCUACAUGCUCGAUUUGCAAACCAUCAGUAGCAUAAUCACUUCAAUGGUCGCUCCUUUACGAGUGACGUUUGAUGUAAGUGAAACUGGCUAAAAUCAACCAAAAACAACGUGCAGUAAAAUCAUAGCUGCAGCACGAGGUCCACUUCAACAACAGACAGCUACGACGUUUACGGAUUAACAGAGCAAUAUACUGCGAGAAUAAUGUGAAUCAUCGCGAGAGAUCACGUGACUACAGCAGAUGGACUCCACAGCAGCAUUUGUUCUGCUGUUGCAGGGAACUGCCAGUCACCACUGACCAUCCCUGCAAACGGCUGAGCAAAUGACCAUCCGCACACUGUGGAGCUGAAGCCAUCCAUUAGCUGGCAAGAUCACACUUUGUAAAUCGACCAGCAGCCGUGAUUGUUCGUGGUGAUACAUCUUUUAAAAAUCAAAAAAUAAUUAAAGAAAUCAUUGUUUUAAUCAAAUAGUUAUUCAUAGUCAUUCUAUUCUGGCUUGUUUAAAAUGUUCCACUUUUUCUUUGAAUGUGCCUUUAUUGUGUGCUUCAUUUGCACUUUCCAUGCUUUUGGCGUUUUAUGUAAAGCACUUUGGCGAAAUGUGCUAUAUAAAUAAAGUUGCCAUGCCUUGUC